UACAGAGGGUGCUAGCGUUGUUCGGAAUCAUUGGGCGUAAAGAGCUCGUAGGCGGCUUGUCACGUCGGGUGUGAAAGCCCGGGGCUUAACCCCGGGUCUGCAUUCGAUACGGGCUAGCUAGAGUGUGGUAGGGGAGAUCGGAAUUCCUGGUGUAGCGGUGAAAUGCGCAGAUAUCAGGAGGAACACCGGUGGCGAAGGCGGAUCUCUGGGCCACUACUGACGCUGAGGAGCGAAAGCGUGGGGAGCGAACAGG
rnacentral:rRNA from 1 species